rnacentral:lncRNA from 1 species
GUAAGGAGCAAAGAAAAAUUUCUCAGAAAAGGAGACUUGAAGCACAAUUGUCAUCAGUUCACAGAAGAACUUUGAAGUUCUGUUUCCAGAGGCCUCUCUCUGCCUGCCCAGAAACUGUACAUCUUUAGAGAUGAGCAAAACUCUGCACUCUGCAAAAUCAGCACCCUCUGUCUAAUCAAAAGUUAACUUGGCCCAGGUUUUAGUUUCUCUGUUAAGUUUUGUUGGAAAGUAAUAUAAUAAAUCUUAUUACAAGAUACAGCUGAUUAUGUAUACAUUAUGUCUUUGGAGAAAUUUGCAUUUUAAGAGGAAGGUCAAGGAUGCCUUAAUUACAAACAUUGCAUUUUUGGUUAUUUAAAUAGUAUCUGGGAAAAUGGUGAAGAUAUAUAGGAAGUUAAGAAAGAUACCUGUAUCUACCACGUGUGAAAGAUUAUCUCAGUAAAUAGAAUUGGCUACAUAUUCAUCUAUUAUAAUAAUACCAAAAAAGAAGAUAUAUAUCUUCAAAGCGUCACAAUUUUUGUAGUCAGCAAAAUGAAUGGCAAAGAUAAUGAGAGAAUAAAGACAUAAAAAUGAGUAUUUAAAAAUAGAAUUCUGAUGGGAAAACUGUUAAUUUUAAAAAUUAUAU